GGAGAGGUCUGUCUGUAAUAAAGAGAUGGGGAGAGGUCUGUCUGUAGUAAAGAGAUGGGGAGAGGUCUGUCUGUAGUAAAGAGAUGGGGAGAGGUCUGUCUGUAGUAAAGAGAUGGGGAGAGGUCUGUCUGUAAUAAAGAGAUGGGGAGAGGUCUGGCUGUGACAAAGAGAUGGGGAGAGGUCUGUCUGUAAUAAAGAGAUGGGGAGAGGUCUGGCUGUGACAAAGAGAUGGGGAGAGGUCUGUCUGUGAUAAAGAGAUGGGGAGAGGUCUGUCUGUAAUAAAGAGAUGGGGGAGGUCUGUCUGUGACAAAGAGAUGGGGAGAGGUCUGUCUGUAAUAAAGAGAUGGGGAGAGGUCUGGCUGUGACAAAGAGAUGGGGAGAGGUCUGUCUGUAAUAAAGAGAUGGGGAGAGGUCUGUCUGUAAUAAAGAGAUGGGGAGAGGUCUGUCUGUAAUAAAGAGAUGGGGAGAGGUCUGUCUGUAAUAAAGAGAUGGGGAGAGGUCUGUCUGUAAUAAAGAGAUGGGGAGAGGUCUGUCUGUAAUAAAGAGAUGGGGAGAGGUCUGUCUGUAAUAAAGAGAUGGGGAGAGGUCUGUCUGUAAUAAAGAGAUGGGGAGAGGUCUGUCUGUAAUAAAGAGAAGGGGAGAGGUCUGGCCGUAAUAAAGAGAUGGGGAGAGGUCUGUCUGUAGUAAAGAGAUGGGGAGAGGUCUAGCCAUAACACAGAGAUGGGGAGAGGUCUGUCUGUAAUAAAGAGAUGGGGAGAGGUCUGUGUGUAAUAAAGAGAUGGGGAGAGAUCUGUCUGUAAUAAAGAGAUGGGGAGAGGUCUGUCUGUAAUAAAGAGAUGGGGAGAGGUCUGUCUGUAAUAAAGAGAUGGGGAGAGGUCUAGCCACAACACAGAGAUGGGGAGAGGUCUGUCUGUAAUAAAGAGAUGGGGAGAGGUCUGUCUGUAUUAAAGAGAUGGGGAGAGGUCUGUCUGUAAUAAAGAGAUGGGGAGAGGUCUGUCUGUAAUAAAG
ensembl:lncRNA